rnacentral:rRNA from 1 species
CGAUAAAUCUGUAAGGUGAGACCUGCCCAAUGGUUGCUGAUAACAUAUAAGAGCAACUAAAUGGCCGCGGUAACUCUGACCGUGAUAAAGUAGCAUAAUCAUUUGUCAUCUAAUUAGUGACUGGAAUGAACGGUCAAACGAAUUCUUACCUGUCUCCGAAGAAUCCCGGCAAAUUUGAAUUGGCAGUGAAGAUUCUGCCACAUGACUAUAAGACGAAAAGACCCUAUCGAGCUUUACUGGAAACCUGUGAUGAACAAUACGUGUAAAGAUCACCUUCCAAUAGUCUCAGGUCUGACAGUUUGGUUGGGGCGACCACCUCUAAGAAAGUAUCAGAGGAACUCUAAUGAUUACCAUAAUAUGAGUGGUAGUUUUACUGAAGACAGACAAGUCAACCAGUUACCAUAAGUAGGACAUAGUGACCCGUUCCUGCAUUCGUUAACAGCAACGAUAAUGAAAUAAGUUACCGUAGGGAUAACAGGGUAAUAUUUUCAAAGAGUUCAUAUCGAUGAAAAUGUUUGCCACCUCGAUGUUGAAUUACGAUAUCCUGGAGGUGCAGCAGCUCCCAAGGGUUGGUCUGUUCGACCAUUAAAAUCGUACAUGA